rnacentral:rRNA from 1 species
UAAGCAUAUCACUGAGCGCAGGAGAAGAAACUAACCAGGAUUUCCCUAGUAACGGCGAGCGAACCGGAAAGAGCCCAGCUUGAAAAUCGUGGCGCCCCGGCGCCUCGAAUUGUAGUCUGGAGAAGGUCCCUCUGCGGCGCGCCGGACCCAAGUUCCCUGGAAAGGGACGCCAUCGAGGGUGAGAGCCCCGCUGAUUCCGGAGUGCGCCGCUCCACGAGGACCUGUCUGCGAGUCGGGCUGUUUGGGAAUGCAGCCCUAAGCGGGUGGUAAAUUCCAUCCAAGGCUAAAUAUUGGCAAGAGACCGAUAGCGAACAAGUACCGCGAGGGAAAGAUGAAAAGGACUUUGAAAAGAGAGUUAAAAAGUGCUUGAAAUUGCUGGGAGGGAAGCGAAUGGAAGCUGCGGGUGCGCCCCGGUUGGAUGUGGAACGGCUCCCUCAAAGGGCUGGUCCGCCGCUCAACGCGGGGCGCUGGUCAGCGUGGGCCAUCGCGGCGGGACAAGAGCGGGGAUUCGCUUCCCGCCGAUGCCGCUGCGGUGGCCGAGGAACGAAGCGCGCGCCCCGUCAAACGGGCGUGGGACCCGUCCCAACUGCGCGCUCGGGACGCUGGCGUAUUGAGCUCUUCAUCCGACCCGUCUUGAAACACGGACCAAGGAGUCUAACAUGUAUGCGAGCCGGUGGGCGGCAAACCCAUUGAGGCGCAAGUAACCUGACAGGUGGGACCCCGACCCCGCGAGGGGGAGGGAGCACCAUCGACCGACCGUGAUCUUCUGUGAAGGGUUC